AGAAUUUACUCGGGAGCUGUUCCCAUGUGGUAGCUGUUAUUAAUGGAUUGAUUUUUCAGACAAUAGUACGGCUUCUUGCAGAAACCCAAACUCCAAGAACUUACUGUUUCAGCCAAAAGAAAUCUGUAAAAAAAUGUUUUCUUAAAAAAAAAAUUGUUUAUUUUUUAAAUGUGGAAAAUAGAUUUUUUUUUUUUUUCCUUCAAAGUAAAGCCCAAAAAACACCCUUUGGCUCAACUGUCAAAUCUCUGAAGACUGAAAGUUCAGGAAACCUUCCUUUGGACCCAGCUCCCUUCACUGCUGUCUGCCUUUAAGGGAAGCCACCUCAGGCACAAGGACUUUGUGCAUGGAGGCUAAUGAAGUACAGGAAGCCCUGCUCCCCUGGAGUCUUCAGGGACACAAUACUGUCUUCCCCUGGCAGUCAUACAUCAUGGGACAGCUUCCCAGAAAUCACAAGCAGAUUAAACAUUACAGGAUCUUUUCCCUUGCAAUGGCACAGGUGAAAGUCAGCAGGUCAAUCUACCAGCAAAGAGGAGGGGAAAGAAGAAGAAUAUGUCUGAGCUGCUUUGAAACAAUGCCGUUAGGCACAAGUUUUCUGUGCAAAGACCACAGCAAAGCACAACCACUGCAAAAGACCAGGGCAGGGAUGGGCCCAGGAGGAUCCACUCUGCUUUAA
rnacentral:lncRNA from 1 species